rnacentral:rRNA from 1 species
UACGUAGGGUGCGAGCGUUAAUCGGAAUUACUGGGCGUAAUGCGUGCGCAGGCGGUUUUGUAGGCCAGAUGUGAAAUCCCCGGGCUUAACCUGGGAAUGGCAUUUGGGACUGCAAGGCUGGAGUACGGAAGAGGAGACUGGAAUUCCUGGUGUAGCAGUGAAAUGCGUAGAGAUCAGGAGGAAUACCGAUGGCGAAGGCAGGUCUCUGGGCUGAUACUGACGCUCAUGCACGAAAGCGUGGGGAGCAAACAGG